UUUCAAUUCUUCCACUCCAAGGUGAGUUAUGUUGAUUCUUUAAAUUUGGGGUUUAUUUUUGUUCAGAUUACGUUUUCUUUUACAAAUCAGUUCAGAUUGCAUUUUGUUCAGAUUUGUUACUCGAACACUUGAAAUUCCAAAACAAAAGCAAUGGGUAAUUUUGGACUGAGAUUCGUAUGUUAUUCGGAAUGAAAAGCCUGGAACAGUUUGGAGCUCUGCAACAGUGUCAAGUAUGGGUCGAACACAUUUGGGUUUCGUCGGCUAUGAUGGUGUUGAACGAUGAUAACGUCAGAGCGUAAACUUUGGGGUUUUGUUCAGUGGAGAAGAUGAUAGUGAUGGAUUUUGUUCAUUCUCCAUGGACUCACGGACACGAUCAGUAGCCCGGGACUUCUUUUGAGGUUAAGGUUAACCGAAGUGGGUGAUGAUGAUGA